CUCCAGUGUUCUAGUUCUACUAAGGUCCUGGAGAGAGCAGCACCUAGCAGCUGGUCCUUCCCAGGACUGGUGAGGGAGUGCCACGUCUGUGCUGGGACCUCGUGACACCCACGGGGUGAAGUGGAGGCCAACUGAGCAAGCUGCGCACCCGGGACGAGACGCACGACUGACCCGUCCUGGAGGCCCAACCCUACAGCGAGGCCACGACAGGUCGGCAAUCCAUGGAAGGAGUCUUCAGCCAAGGUGACUCACUGGGGCCCAGAGAGGUGAAGGAACAUGUGCCCAAGUCACAGAGCUGGCUAGUGGCAGAGGGAGGAUUCAAGCCCAGGCAGCAUCCGUGUGUUGAAGAAAAGCCACUACACUAUGGGCCUUCUUGUCGGACACUGUUGGGCUUUUGUAUCUGGGCCUGGGACUGCCUGCUAGGUGUCCCGGAGUCCCUGGGUCAGCCUCAAGAGGGCCAAGGAGGAAGCAUUCAAUCCUGGGGCUGUCUGUACCCUCACACACUAGAGCCUCAAGCUCCCUUAGAUGUCAGCAUCAUCUGUAUGCUGACAUGUCCCACAUAGGGGGCCACGUUUUUGAAUGUGUGUAGAAGCUGUUGACUAA